rnacentral:rRNA from 1 species
GAUGAAUGCUGGCGGCGCGCCUAACACAUGCAAGUCGAGCGGUAACAUGGACUUCGGUCUGAUGACGAGCGGCGGACGGCUGAGUAACGCGUGGGAACAUGCCCCAAAGUGAGGAAUAACUGCCCGAAAGGGUGGCUAAUGCCGCAUAUGAUCUUCGGAUUAAAGGAUUUAUCCGCUUUGGGAGUGGCCUGCGUACGAUUAGGUAGUUGGUGAGGUAAUGGCUCACCAAGCCUACGAUCGUUAACUGGUCUGAGAGGAUGAUCAGUCAGACUGGAACUGAGACACGGUCCAGACUCCUACGGGAGGCAGCAGUGAGGAAUCUUCCACAAUGGGCGAAAGCCUGAUGGAGCGACGCCGCGUGCAGGAUGAAGGCCUUCGGGUUGUAAACUGCUUUUAUAAGUGAAGAAUAUGACGGUAACUUAUGAAUAAGCACCGGCUAACUACGUGCCAGCCGCCGCGGUAA